rnacentral:lncRNA from 1 species
GCUAGGUGUGAUUUUUGCUCUGCUCCCCAAACGGAUUUUCUAAUUGUGAGACAGAAGCCCAGGGACUGAGAGGGAGUAGGAUCCGAGGCUCCAGCUCUGCUACUCGGGUGUCCAUUUCACUCAGUGACCUCAUCAGAUGGAGCUAUCGUAUCUGGGGACUGAAGGAGUCCCACAAUGAGAUGCCAAGCCAAUCUUUCAGGCACUGUCUCAAAGAAUGGCCUGUGUAGGGGAAGUUCAAAGGCUUUGUAAAUUCUUUGGAACACCUGCCCAGGCCAGGAUUGGACCUGACUUGCAGAAGGAUGGUACACAGGGAGUGCUCUACAGGGACUGAUAACUGUUUCUGGUCUCCAGAGAAGAAGACUGAGUCACUAUAUCAUCACUCUACAGUGCCUUAACACCCUGUGGCCAUCGGUAUUCAUGAAAGAGACAAAUUAUGAGGAUGCGCUGGGAACUAGAGUUUCAGUUUCUCGUUUGUAAUCUACUGCUGGAUAGGAAGCAGAAACACAUGGAAAAGAUUUGAUAAUGUUAACAAAUGACACAAUA